AAAGAGGAGUGGCGGACGGGUGAGUAACACGUGGGUAACCUACCCAUCAGAAGGGGAUAACACUUGGAAACAGGUGCUAAUACCGCAUAACAAUCUAUGCCGCAUGGCAUAGAAGUGAAAGGCGCUUUCGGGUGUCGCUGAUGGAUGGACCCGCGGUGCAUUAGCUAGUUGGUGAGGUAACGGCUCACCAAGGCCACGAUGCAUAGCCGACCUGAGAGGGUGAUCGGCCACAUUGGGACUGAGACACGGCCCAAACUCCUACAGGAGGCAGCAGUAGGGAAUCUUCGGCAAUGGACGAAAGUCUGACCGAGCAACGCCGCGUGAGUGAAGAAGGUUUUCGGAUCGUAAAACUCUGUUGUUAGAGAAGAACAAGGAUGAGGGUAACUGUUCAUCCCUUGACGGUAUCUAACCAGAAAGCCACGGCUAACUACGUGCCAGCAGCCGCGGUAAUACGUAGGUGGCAAGCGUUGUCCGGAUUUAUUGGGCGUAAAGCGAGCGCAGGCGGUUUCUUAAGUCUGAUGUGAAAGCCCCCGGCUCAACCGGGGAGGGUCAUUGGAAACUGGGAGACUUGAGUGCAGAAGAGGAGAGUGGAAUUCCAUGUGUAGCGGUGAAAUGCGUAGAUAUAUGGAGGAACACCAGUGGCGAAGGCGGCUCUCUGGUCUG
rnacentral:rRNA from 1 species